rnacentral:rRNA from 1 species
GGUUGAUCCUGCCAGUAGUCAUAUGCUUGUCUUAAAGAUUAAGCCAUGCAAGUGUAAGUACGGCCCUACUCUUCGAGGGGGCGAGACUGCGGACGGCUCAUUAAAUCAGUUAUGAUUCCCAGGAGCCAGAACCACUUACUUGGAUAACUGUGGCAAUUCUAGAGCUAAUACAUGCACUUCAAGCUCCACCUGCCCCGUUCGCGGGGCGGGAGGUUGCGCACCUGUUAGCCUCGAAAGGCGGCGGCUUCGGCCCCGUCGAAAGGAGAUGAAUUCUGGACAGCUUUGCCGAUCGCACGGCCUCUUGUGCCGGCGACGUACCUUUCAAGUGUCUGACCUAUCAUACUAGAUGGUUUGCGAUCUGCGCACCAUGGUUGCAACGGGUGACGGGGAAUCAGGGUUCGAUUCCGGAGAGGGAGCAUGAGAAACGGCUGCCACAUCCAAGGAAGGCAGCAGGCACGCAACUUACCCAAUGCCGACACGGCGAGGUAGUGACGAAAAAUACCAAUACGGGAGCCGCUACACGCGGUCCCGCAAUUGAAAUGAGUACACUCUAAAUCCUUUAACGAGGAUCUAUUGGAGGGCAAGUCUGGUGCCAGCAGCCGCGGUAAUUCCAGCUCCAAUAGCGUAUGUCAAUGCUGCUGCGGUUGAAACGCUCGGAGUUGGAUCUCGGUGACGGGCCGACGGUCUCGCUCUCGGAGCGAUGCACGGUCGGCGAUAGGGGAGGGUUUAACCGCUCUCCCUUGCCUCCGUCCCUCUGUCCGGAAUGUAUUUGUCCUAGCCCGGGUGCUCUUGACUGAGUCGCUCGGUGCCUGGCCGGACGCUUCACUGUGAAAAAAUUAGAGUGCUCAAAGCAGGCCUCAGUGCCGGUAUAUCGCUGCAUGGAAUGAUAGAGAAGGACCUCGGCGCGUGCCCUCUGGGUGCGGCGCACGAGGUAAUGAUUAAGAGGGACUGCCGGGGGCAUACGUACUGCGGCGCGAGAGGUGAAAUUCUGUGACCGUCGCAGGACGAGCUAAAGCGAAGGCAUUUGCCAAGAAUGUCUUCAUUAAUCCAGAACGAAAGUCAGAGGCUCGAAGACGAUCAGAUACCGUCGUAGUUCUGACCGUAAACUCUGCCUACUGGCAAUCCGCCGACGGUAUCUCAACGACUCGGCGAGCGGCCUACGGGAAACCAAAGUGUUUGGGUUCCGGGGGGAGUACGGUCGCAAGGCUGAAACUUAAAGGAAUUGACGGAAGGGCACCACCAGGAGUGGAGCCUGUGGCUUAAUUUGACUCAACACGGGAAACCUCACCCGGUCCGGACACUGGUAGGAUUGACAGACUAACGCUCUUUCUUAAUUCAGUGGGUGGUGGUGCAUGGCCGUUCUUAGUUGGUGGAGUGAUUUGUCUGGUUAAUUCCGAUAACGAACGAGACUCUUGCCUGCUAAAUAGUUCGGGGACCUAGGUCCGUCCGCUCUGCGGGGGACCUGCUUCGGGUCACUCGAUCGCUCUACGGAGCCAACUUCUUAGAGGCACAAGUGGCGCUUAGCCACACGAAACGGAGCAAUAACAGGUCUGUGAUGCCCUUAGAUGUCCGGGGCCGCACAUGCGCUACAAUGGCUGCAUCAGCGCGAGUCUCUCCUGAAAGGGCGAGGAAACCGCUCAACCGCAGUCCCGGUUGGGAUUGGGGGCUGCAAGUGUCCCCCAUGAACACGGAAUUCCUAGUAGGCGCCAGUCAUCAGCUGGCGUCGAUUGAGUCCCUGCCCUUUGUACACACCGCCCGUCGCUACUACCGAUCGCUCUCGUUAAUGAGCCCGUCGGAUUGGACCCGGUGGGGCGCGUUCGCGUGCCCCGCGUCCUGGUGUUUGCCGAGAAGAUGGGCGAAUUAUCGGGAGUAGAGGAAGUAAAAGUCGUAACAAGGUAUCCGUAGGUGAACCUGCGGAUGGAUCAUUAUCAUAUUUAACCAACCAAAACACGCCUAAUACUUUUUGAACGAGUGGACUAAUACAUCUUGAAAGACUCGACCCCGGCGCCAGUCACGCCGGGGGCCCGAAAGCAAUCCAACAAACAACACGACCCUUUCUUACUACUCUGUGCGGUGGAUCACUCGGCUCGUGCGUCGAUGAAGAGCGCAGCUAGCUGCGAGAGUUAAUGUGAAUUGCAGGACCGCAUCGAAACAUCGACAUCUUGAACGCACAUAGCGGCCUCCGGGUCACUCCGGAGGCCACGUCUGUCUGAGGGUCGGCAUUGCUAGCAAUCAGCUCUGCUGAGUUGGCGUGGCCCGAGGCUCCGAUAACGAGCUGCAUGUGCCCGCCUUGAGAGGGAAGAGGGAAAGGAGUGCUGUCUGGCGCUACUUGCUCGUUGCGGAGACGUACGGGCUUGCGCUCAGGAAACGCACACCGCAAUCCCGAGGAAAAAUUUACUUGCUCAGCUGACCUCAGAUCAGGCGGGGUUACCCGCUGAACUUAAGCAUAUCAAUAAGCGGAGGA